AUAAAACACAUAAGAUUGAACUACGUUAUUUUGUAAGAACUAAUAUUGAACAUAUCAUUAAUUAAAUUAACGUAAUUUUGUAUAUAUUAAAAAAUUUAAUUAUAAUACGGAACUGAAUGGAAUCGGACCAAACCAACCCGACGGUUCCACUUACUAAAUACCCGAAAAUUUCGAGUCAGUUCGAUUCUCGUUAGAACCGAACGGAACCGGAUCAUGUCCAGCCCUAGUCUUGGGUGCUUCAAUUUCUGUGAACGUUUGGAGUAUAUUAAUAGAUGGAUUCUGUAAGUCUGGGCGGAUUGAUAUUGCAGCUUAUCUACUUGAGAAGAUGUUGGAGAGUGGGUGUUCUCCAAACAUUGUCACAUGCACACCUAUAAUUAAGGAGAUUCUUGGAAUCUCAAAUGUACAUCACGGCAUUUGAGAUCCUUAAUGCUCUGGAAUUGGAAGGAUGUUAUUCUGAUUUGGUUCUUUCCAAUGUGUUGAUAGAUUGUCUCUCUAAGAUGGGGAUGUAUGAUGAUGCAUUUGAAGUUUUCUCCAGUUUGAGAGAACGACAACUAAUACUUGAUGUUUUGCUUCUCUGAUGUCAACUAUUUUGCUUGUCUAGACAAUACGUUCUUCUACUUUUGCUAAUAAGUGGCCUGGCUAUAGAACCUGACUUGGUAGUAUGUAAUUCUCUUCUUAGCUAUUUUUGUAAAGCUGGUUAUCCGGAAGGUGCCAUGGAUUUUAUAUCAAUAUUAUAGAUAGAGGGUUUACACCAGAUAAAUAUAGUUUUUCUGGAUUACUUAGUGCACUGUGCAGUUUGGGUAGGAUACAAGAAGCAGUUAAUGUGUAUUGUGAAAUUGUUCGAACUCAUCCUUACAUUUUAUGCUCACAUCCAUACUAUAAUUGUCAAUGGGCUUAUAAAUUCAGGUCACCCAUUUAGAGCAACCAGAUUAUUCAAAAAAGCAGCUACAGAGUUUCCACUUCAUGUUGUGUCAUAAAAUGUCGCCAUUGGCGGACUUAUCAGGAGUAGUCAAAUGGGAGAGGCUUAUGCUUUGUUUAGCCGAAUGAAGCAGAUGGCUGUACCUCCAAACAAGCACACAUAUAAUUUAAUACUCUCUGAUUUGUGUAAGAAUUGAGACGUAAAGACGAUCAAAUCUAUCAUACAUGAAAUGAUUGGUAGGAAUAUUGAAAUAGACAACGAUGCAUGUAGUUUAAUGAAGUACCUUGGGUAUAAAUCACACAAUCUUCCAAGAUUGCGGCAAAGGAAGGCAGAUUCCUUAUGGAAUAAUGGACGUGAUACUGGUGCAUAUGGUAGUAAUGAGGAUUUAUGAAAUGUAAUCAAUGUUCUAGACAAUAGCACAUCAAGCUGGGAUGACCUCCAGGAUGCAGCUGUUUCUGUGUGUUGAGAAAAAAUUGAGGAAAUUGGUUGUUCGUUCAGUGAAUUGUGUUUCUCGAAUUCAUAAAGCAUCACAUCUUCUUUUCCAUGGAUCGAUUAGAGUGGUUCUUUAAAGGUACUGCAUCUAUCUCUUCGCAUAUAUCAUGUCACAUUUGUCUAGACAAUAUUAGGCUUUUGUAUAAGUUUACAGCUUCAGGUGAACUAUAGGAUAUGCUAUCCAUCAAUGUAUUUCAUGAUGAACAUGUCUGGCAUCUUAUGUUUAAAUUAGUUUGUAAAUACGGAAAGUAAUCUAACUCUAUUUGCUUAAUUCUUUGAAUAAAAUAAAUUAUCUAUUUUCCAUCAUAAAAAAACCUGUUAGAAAUCUAAAUUGUGAUUUAUUGUUCAUAAUUGCUUGUUUCAAAUGUUCUUAGGAACUUGAAGCAUUUUCUAUUCAUUGGCUUUCACAGGCCAUACAUUUGGAGAGACACUUUUUGAUAUUGAUACUAGGCCCCUGUUUGGUAAACAUCCUUUCAAAACUCUUUAUUUCUCAUACUCAUUUUUAACCGCACAUUCUCACAGUUAAAUAUUCUUUAUGAAAAUCCAAAAUAUUUCCUACUUCUAACCACACAUACUCCAAAAAAUAACAAUUCAAAAACUUAUUCUUUAUGAAAAUGGCUGUCAAACUGGGGCUAGAUUUUGAAUUGACAUUAUGUACUGUAUAUGAGUUACUGAUGUGAAAGUUGUGUAUCCGAUUGUACAUUUAUCAACUAGAUAAUAAUAAUUAUAAUUCUUGCAUGAUGAUUAUAUCUUGCUGCAUCAUCAGGAAU
rnacentral:lncRNA from 1 species